rnacentral:rRNA from 1 species
GACGAACGCUGGCGGCGUGCUUAACACAUGCAAGUCGAACGGAAAGGCCCUGCUUUUGUGGGGUGCUCGAGUGGCGAACGGGUGAGUAACACGUGAGUAACCUGCCCUUGACUUUGGGAUAACUUCAGGAAACUGGGGCUAAUACCGGAUAGGAGCUCCUGCUGCAUGGUGGGGGUUGGAAAGUUUCGGCGGUUGGGGAUGGACUCGCGGCUUAUCAGCUUGUUGGUGGGGUAGUGGCUUACCAAGGCUUUGACGGGUAGCCGGCCUGAGAGGGUGACCGGCCACAUUGGGACUGAGAUACGGCCAAGACUCCUACGGGAGGCAGCAGUGGGGAAUAUUGCACAAUGGGCGGAAGCCUGAUGCAGCAACGCCGCGUGCGGGAUGACGGACUUCGGGUUGUAAACCGCUUUCGCCUGUGACGAAGCGUGAGUGACGGUAAUGGGUAAAGAAGCACCGGCUAACUACGUG